CUCUUAUAGAAAUAUAGAAAAAAUAGUUUCACUUUGUCUUUUACUAUGGAUAUACACUCUUCAUUGUCCAGUAUAUCCUUGCUGGGGAGAAGCUUCCAUCUUGACUAGUUGAUGGUAAGAAUUGAAACCUCUGUCUACGAGCCUCUGAAAUUUGCACAGUUAGCCAAUCUUACAUGCCUAACAGUUGGAGGCUGCUGGCUUCAGAGUCGACAGACUCCAUGCCUUUCAAGCUUCAUCUGUUCUGCUACCCACAUAGUUCUCUUGCUGGGCGUUGAAGAUCGUUUGUACAGCAACUAAACCUCUGGCCCCACCUUCAGAGUCACCGGCAACGAUUUCUGCUUUAUUUGGAGGACACUACUACACAACAGGCUAUGUACUAAAAUGCUCAGUCCUAAUAUUGUACACAAAGCCUAGAAGUUGAAAGUGAAUGCCCCCACGAGAGAGGCUCCAAAAUCUAUGAGCGUUUAAAAACCCUGACCACCCUGGACUGCUGCUGUGGAAGCAGUAACCCCUCCAGCGGGCAGAGAUGUUGCUCACACCAGUGCACAGCUUCUACAACCUAUUGGACAACCUUGCCAAGCUCCAGAAGGACUGUCCCUGGUUACUCCAGCUGAAAAAGAAAGCACCCAGUGGGGUACACAGUUUAGGAAAUGAGUGUUUGAAGUCAAAGACAAAGAUUCUUAUGGGAUCCAUAGAAGAUUCUAAGCUGGCUUCUUUUUGAAAAAAAUACAAGUUUUGCAUGGAAUGUUUAAGCCUACAGAGUCACCAAAUGUAGAAGGCCUGUGAUUCUGAAUUACUAUUUAAAGGGAAACCGUAUGUCAAUCAAGAACACUGAAUCUUAUUCAAAGCAAGCAUAAACUAUGGUGUAUGACAUUGUAUUUUGUUUUUGAUACAUCUGACCCCCAUCUGGCCCCCCUCAGGAAGAGACUGCAGAGAGCCUAAGGUCCUUGAGCUCCGAGAACAAUCACAGCCCAUUCCUGCAUCCUGCAGUCCCCAGUCUAAGCCUGGGAACAACGCCUACCCUGGUAAGAUGCAACAUACCCACCCACCUGCUGGGUAACACCACUGGUCACUGUGGCCACAUAUCAACCAUUCUCACUCCUCGAAUCCCAAGUCUUCCCCUUUGCAUCACACACGUAAGCCCAUCCCCAUCACUUCCAUCUUCAUCCAUGAAAGACCCAGUUCAAUAAAAUGGACUCAGACUCUGUUUCAGAGUUACUCCCGAAGGUCCCUCCUGGAACUCCCAAAUUCUGGCUGGCUGUGUUCUUUAAAGGGUCAUCACUCUUUACCUAACGUCCGUGCUGAAGCUUGGGAGGUGGCAUUCUACAGCCCCCUUUCACACACACACGCACACACACACACACACACACAGAGGCUACUGACACACCAGCACCAGAGCUUGUGUUCACGGAUGUAUCACAGUAGUGAUUAGACUGUGAGACUACUAUGAGUCAUCGCUGAUGGGCACACAGGAGAAAUAAAGUCCUAGGUACUGAAAAGCCCCACCUCAUUCAUCUUUCAUUUGUACAAACAGAUACACACAGCUCUCUCCAUCCAGCCUCUAACAAUCCAUUGCUAGACUGCAUUCAGACCACACAGCUGUCUCUGGGGAGGGGUACUAUAAUUUGGCCAGACAAGAUUUAAAUUAGAAAUUAUUUUAUGUUACCCCUCUUAAGUUGCCAACAAAAAUGCUAAGCAUCAAU